UACGUAGGGGGCAAGCGUUGUUCGGAAUUACUGGGCGUAAAGGGCUCGUAGGCGGCCGGCUAAGUCCGACGUGAAAUCCCCAGGCUUAACCUGGGAACUGCGUCGGAUACUGGCGGGCUUGAAUCCGGGAGAGGGAUGCGGAAUUCCAGGUGUAGCGGUGAAAUGCGUAGAUAUCUGGAGGAACACCGGUGGCGAAGGCGGGUCUCUGGGCAGUAACUGACGCUGAGGAGCGAAAGCGUGGGGAGCGAACAGG
rnacentral:rRNA from 1 species